rnacentral:rRNA from 1 species
AUUGAACGCUGGCGGCAGGCCUAACACAUGCAAGUCGAGCGGAAGAACAGUACUUGCUUGUUGUUACGGCGGCGGACGGGUGGGUGGUGCCGAGGAAUCUCCCUGGCUGUGGUGUAUAACGUCCGGAAGCGGGGGCUAAUACCCCAUAAGUGCUGAGGGAGAAAGGGGGGGAUCUUCGGACCUUAGGAUCUCGGGUGAGCGUAGGUGCGAUUGUCGGAUUAGCUAGUUGGAGGGGUAAAGGCCCACCAAGGCGACGAUCCGUAGCUGGUCUGAGAGGAUGAUCAGCCACACUGGAACUGAGACACGGUCCAGACUCCUACGGGAGGCAGCAGUGGGGAAUAUUGGACAAUGGGCGCAAGCCUGAUCCAGCCAUGCCGCGUGGGUGAAGAAGGUCUUCGGAUUGUAAAGCCCUUUUAUUGGGGAAGAAGGGCAGCAAGUUAAUACCCUGCUGUUCUGACGGUACCCAAAGAAUAAGCACCGGCUAACUUCGUG